GAUGAACGCUGGCGGCGUGCCUAAUACAUGCAAGUCGGGCGAACAGACGAGGAGCUUGCUCCUCUGACGUUAGCGGCGGACGGGUGAGUAACACGUGGAUAACCUACCUAUAAGACUGGGAUAACUUCGGGAAGCCGGAGCUAAUACCGGAUAAUAUAUUGAACCGCAUGGUUCAAUAGUGAAAGACGGUUUUGCUGUCACUUAUAGAUGGAUCCGCGCCGCAUUAGCUAGUUGGUAAGGUAACGGCUUACCAAGGCGACGAUGCGUAGCCGACCUGAGAGGGUGAUCGGCCACACUGGAACUGAGACACGGUCCAGACUCCUACGGGAGGCAGCAGUAGGGAAUCUUCCGCAAUGGGCGAAAGCCUGACGGAGCAACGCCGCGUGAGUGAUGAAGGUCUUCGGAUCGUAAAACUCUGUUAUUAGGGAAGAACAAAUGUGUAAGUAACUAUGCACGUCUUGACGGUACCUAAUCAGAAAGCCACGGCUAACUACGUG
rnacentral:rRNA from 1 species